UGGGCCCCAGCUCCCACCAAAUAUCGGGACCCCAGCCCUGGAAACCAACCACCAAAUCGCUCUCCCUCCACCAAGAACAAGAUAAUUUAUCUCCCACUUUGAAUCCAUGGUCGCACCCCUCCUCCUUGUCUAGACUUUCAAGGGCUGGCCUUCACCACCCCCACCUUGUCCCCCCUCCAGCUCUCAGCCUUCAUCUUCCAAUUGUCACUUUCUCCUGUACAACUAAGAUCUGGAUUUGUGCUUACUUGAGCUGACAGGGUCAGGGAGUUGUGGGGGAGGUUUGGGAAGGGGGACCAGAACACCGUGAACCUCCAGUGACAAACUGUCCUCUUUCUAUCACUCCUUAUCAACUCCACUCCUCGCGCCGGACACACACAUCAGCUGACCGUGCUCUCAGGUUCCAAGGGAGAGCAACAAGAGAAAGAAAGAGAGAGGCAAGCGAAAUUCCUGAAUGGAUAGAGAGAUGCUACGUCACCGGAGCUGCAUCCUCUGCUCCACAAGAGGCUAGGAGCCGGGGAGAGAGGCAGUUCAGCGGCAGGGGCCACCCAAGCAGUUUCUCCUCCAUAAGCCAGGAGCUGAGCAUCCAAGAAGAAGCAGCCUCAUUUGUUUCUGGUGUCAUCGUAAUUGGCCACCUUUGGCUUUUGGGACUCUUCCUCUCUCCAACCAGGAAAUUCCAUGAUCUUGCUCAUUCUUGUCUUGGGAAGUCCUUUCCAAUGUCUAGUCCAGAUCUGCGCGGCUGAAGCACCAGUUCUUUUAACCUUGGUUUGACAUGGCUAAUCUGAGAGACCAAAAAGAAGAACCUGCUUCACCCAGUCGGCCUGGCUUCCCUCUGAGAAGCCUUCCUGGAUUGACUGAAAGAUGAGGCUAAACUCCAGCAAGUUGACCGGCUCCUCAAGAAGCGUUUGAGCAGGCUGGAAGCAGGGAGGCCCUGGCCACCAGCCUGGGCGGCCCCUUACACCAGGACCUAGAGCUUUGCUCCACCACGGCUCCCAUGUCCACGAGCUGUCCAUCCAGGCCCAGCCCAGUUUCUCCUGUGUCAGCUGAGCAGAAAUUCCUCGGAGAUGGACGUCCCGUCUCAUGUCUAAUAAAGACUUCUGAACAAUGA